UCGGGUGUGGUGCACGGCGUACGGCGGCUUUCAUUCGACGAGAACGAAAGGUUUCAGCCGCAGGACGGGGUUCGACUCCCCGCACCCGAC